UUAGCCAAAUAGAAAGGGAUAUUUCCAUAGAGAAAGAAAACACGAUAGCUUACAUGUCCACAUUUUGCAGCUAAACUUGAGUAAAUUUUAGCGGGGAAGAAAAACUCGAAACAUUGAACAUUUUUUUUUUUUAAAUAACAUUAUGCUUAAUGUUGUUGUAUAAUGAUAAACAAAAUAUCUGCUCAGGAAAACAAAAAUUCCCUUGUUACAAGUGUUUUGUUGAAAUUUUCUAUGAUGAUGAAGCUCCAAAGACAAAAAUUAGAUAAUUUAAUAGUUCUGCCUCUUAAUUGAACACAUGCAAGUCCAACAAGGUAUUGUAGUGUCCCUUCUCAAUUUCCUCCUCUUUCACCUGAUGAAGAAGGAGGGUCUCAAUUACAAAAUCUUCCCAAUCAAUUCCUUUUGCCCUUGUUUUCCUUUUCCUCUUCCGAGUAUGUGAAUCUUCCAGAACACAAAGGUCACUACCAUCACCUGAAUUAGCAUUCCAUGGAUGCAUAAUCUUUUCAAUGCGCAACCUUGCAGCAUUUAUCCUUGCUCUCCUCCUCUUAACUGCCAAAUGACCAUUAACAAAAGAUGGAGGCAUAGGAUUUAAUCCCACAUCUUUUUCCAAUAUUUGCUUCAACAAAAGCUUCUUGCUCAAUUCUGAUUUCCCAUUCCACCAUUCUGUUGGAUGAAGCUCAAGCCCCAUAUUGCUUUUCCUCCUAUGAACACCUCCAUUUUCUAUUGCAUACUUACCACUGCCACCCUCCUUCAAGAACUUGUUAUAAACCAUGGACAAGCACUCAUGUGAAAGCUGAAGCUUACCCACAUCACCAUCGCCCAUUUUAUUCACGCCACUGCCAUUUUUGAGCUCAAAAUACCGAGAAUCAUCAUACUCCGCACGAUCCUCUUCAACACCAUAUUCAAUAUCCUUUCUCAAACAGUGGCUAACCACCUCCCCCAAAUCAAAUCCAACACACUCCAAACUGGCCCCCUCCCUACCACACUUUGCCAUUGACUUCAUCUCCAUAUAACGAAUCACAAAAGGGACAUUUUUCACAAUGUUCUUCAUUGUCACAUCUUUCCCCCAUGGUAAUGCCUCUGCCACUUUCACAAGCACCUCUAACAAUUCCCUAUACCUCAAUCUACAAGUGGACACUGCUGCGUGCACCUCCCUUGCCACUUCCUCAAUCUUCAAACCCUCAACCCCAUUCAACUCUGCCACCAACACCAGAACUGCUGCCACAAUUGGUGAUGGCCUUCGCCCUGUGGAUAAAAACCAUUUUAUUGCACACUGUAUCAAAAACACACCUUGUUCUUGCAUUCUCUCAACUUUAUUGCUCUCAAUCCUCCCUGCAUUCGACAAAUUUCUCACUACCUUCUCAAAUGAGCUAACUAUAUCAAACUCAGGCAACUUUAUAUUCAAAUGAUCAACAACCCGCAUUAUCAUUCUACCCAAUUCAUGAACAUCACAACCAAUUACAUUACCAAUCUCUGCAAUAGAUAAAGACUUGUUAUCUCUCCUGACUACAACAUAAGCACAGGCACCUAUCAAAACUGGGAACCAAUCGCCUUGCCCAAACUCACCUUCUGUGAUUUUAUCAAUCAUGGAUUUGAUUUCGCUAACUUUUUGGCCUACUAAAUCCAACUUGAAGGUUAUUUCAUCGAUAAGUUUAUUUGCUUCGAAGAUUUUUUUGUCUCGGUAAUUUAAGACACUACCAGCACCUGAAGUGCCGACACGGAUAAACACGCCUUCUGGACCACUGACACCGCCGGUGCGAGCUUCGUAGUUGUCGAAUUCUUGGACGGCACCGCAUGACUCACAAACCAGUAAGCCAGUGACGUCGUCACGGAUUAGGGAUCUGUGUCCGCAGCGGUUGCAAGGCAUGACCACAAAGAUUCUAGAGGCGUCUGUCUUGCAUUUGGAUUGCGAGCAAAUUUGUAGUUUCCGGGAAAGUAAAGAGAAGGUUUCCCAAAGGUUGUGGGAGCAGUCAAUUCGGUUUUGAACUGUUUGGGAGAGCAAAGAAUGAAAUCUGAGGAGACAGAAUUGGAAGUUGCGCCGUUUUCCAGAAUCACCCAGAGAAAA
rnacentral:misc_RNA from 1 species